CAGUCCGCUAUCCUCCCCUUCGUCUUAUCCAUUCUGUCCUACGCCGGCGGCUUCACCCAUUCCGUCGUGCGCCGGCGGCCGCCGUGCCUCGCGCGGGAGGAUGGAGGACGUUCUCUGGGGCGUGUGCGGUGGAGACGGCGCGACGAGGUGGGGCAGUGUCGGUGGUUGUCCGGCCGUCGUGCCUCGCAUCGGGAGGAUGGACGACGCUCGCCGGGGCGUGUGCGGCGGAGACGGCCUCUGCCGCGCAUCCAGGUGGAGCAGCGGCGUUGGUUGUCGUCCAACAUGAGGAGGCAGAGGCGGCCAAGGCAAUGAGGCACCGGCGUCGGCUAGCGAAGUGGCGGCCGGAGCAGAGGACGACGGGAAGGCAAGGGGGCACGGGCGUCGGAUAUUCAAGGGGCUGCCGGACGAGAGGACGAUGGGAGACAGUCGACGAUGGAUGCGGAGGUGUUUGCAUCAGGUAGGAGCAGAGGCGACGGCGAAGUGGCUUGGGCUUCAGCAGUCGUUCUUCUGGUGGAGGGAGAGCAUGCCCGGAGGAGGCAGGGUGAGUACGCUGUGCACGAGAGCCGGCCGCGAGGUCUCUGUGAGCUGUUCGCCACUGCCAGUCGUCUCCGGCCUGCACCACAUAAAUUAAUUGAGUCCCGACCCGGAUUGGAGUUCUCUGCUAUAAGAAGGAAGUGUUCUUGGCCGGAAUCUCCAUCAGCAAAUCCAUCAAAUCCAGGAAUUCUUGGUCCAGAGAAGCAUCAUGUCGCCUUUGAGUUCGCCGAAGGAAGACGCACCGAGUUCGCCGGAGGUAGAAGAACGUUUGUCGAUCCAUCCAAUAUCGCCCUUUCUUCUUGAGAUUGGUUGUAGCUAAUGUUCUGUUACCGUUCAGGAUACUGAAUUUCCUCCUGCUGGUAUCAUCGUCUCCCUGUAAUGUGAUGUAGCACAUUACUAUGCACUUCAGCACUAAGCCCAGAACCUAGCUAGCUUACUUGAGGGUCGGCUCCGGAGUUUGUCGAUUGUGUUUGUGUACAAUUUGUGAGGGGCUGUAGAGAGUCAAUUAACAAGUCAAUUAAUACGAACAUCUUUUUCUCUACGGUCCUCUGAAUAUGAGAUAUGGAUGCCAUAACUUGGUACUAAUUGCAGCAUCCUAAUCAUGCAUGUUGGUGAAAAAAAUAUGCUGACCACUGAUGCACUGUAUGUGACAUAUAUUAGGCAGUAAUACAGUGCAUUGAUUCAGAAUUGACAGUGGCUGCUGUUGUUGAGAGAGCAGUAGGGAACAAUAGAAAGUAAGAGAAACUGAGAGGAAGUUACUGCUAUGUGCAUGUAUGUUGUUGCUGCGAGUUGUCUCACUCUCAGGAGAGAAAUAGAGAGAAGUGGAGUCAAAGUGAUAGGGAUUGAGAGUCAGAUGCUUUUUGUGCAGCUAUUGUGCUUCUGAUUAUAUUGGGGUGUCGUAGCAGUUUAUACUUUGUACAGGGUUGACUGCCUAAUGCUACUUUUGAGUUUUGAUUAUGAUUGUUAGAUUUUAUUUAGUAACUGCUAAUUGCUAGAGAGAACAGAGAGGAGUGUAUGUAGUGAUUGUCAUUGCUUCAUGCCCCUAGAUAUCUAUGCUGCUGCUGAAAUAGCGGUUGAGAAUUAUGAGCACUGAAAAAGUUGUCAAAUUGACUGACUGCCUUGUGAAAAAGUAGCAAGAACGAACUCAGGAAAUUUUGCAAACGGUAUCAGCAUUGGUUUGUGUGGUACUGUGGAUGUUUCUCUUGCAAGUCUAAGUUUUAGACAAAAAUAUCCUGUACUUGUUUGGGUAAUGUUUUUUUUGUUAGACCAACAAGCCUUGAACUAGAUUGGUUGAAGCAGCCUACAUACAUAUUACAGUUUCGCAUUUUAAAUUUGAAGACCAAGGCAAUGCCCGAUUGAUGUAACUGGAGGUGAAUGUCUGUUUUCUUGUUUGUAUUUAAUCUUAGAAAACAGAAUCUCAUCAAGUGAAAACCCGUAGGCAUUGCAGUCCAAUUGUUCUAGGGAUUGGAACCAGACGUGUGACUGAAUACUGCUUGGAACAUGUGAUUCUGCAAAGUUUACGCACAUGCACCUUCUUGGAUGAUACAACUUCUCUAUGUUUGUACCUCCUCACCAUUCAAAUUUUACAAACUUUAUGAGUAAAAAGUAGAAAGUAAUGUUCUCACUUCUCUUUUUUAUGACCUUCAUUAUUUCAGUCUCAGCAACAUCCAGGAGAUGUACCUAUGUAGCUACUGUUAGUUCAAAAGCUUUAUUUCACAAGUUGGCAACACGAUAUUCAGGUGGAAGACCUUUGCAAUCUUAUCAAGCUUUACGCCAAACGGGCACUCUUACUUGAUCCCUUAUUACUCCUUCGAACAAUUUGUGCGCAAGGUUGAGGAAGUUGGGGCCAGUAAUCAUGUUAGAAUAAACUUCUUUCUUCCUCUAAGAGUUUGUUUCCAUACUGUGGGGCAGCAGGAUCUGAGUCCCACUAUGAGGGAUCGACCUUCAGAGAUCAGCUACCGGCGUCAUAAUGCCCCCGCAAGCCUCAAGAAAGUUAGAGUCUCUCUGUAUCUUCAAAUUGGCUGUUGAUUGAUGAGCAAAGGUUGAUUUGAGCAUCUAUAUCUGCACCACAUGGAAGCCUCCUCUUUGAUUUUAGCAACAAUCACUCCCACUGGCACCGCGGUAUUGCGAAAAAGACGAGCAUUCCUCUCCUUCCAGAUUUACCACGAGAUAAGCAUCAUUAAAGAGCAUGAUAGUUCUUCUCUCCUCAAGUCUCAAAUCCGUUUUUCAUCACCCUUUGGUAUGUUUCGUGGGGAUCUUUUUUAUUCAGCUCAUAAAUGCUGAUUAGUUCAUGUGUUUAGAAGUAAGAGGUGCAGCAUGCCAGCCGUCCUCAAAGGAGUAGUAGAGCAGAGGAUCUUCUUAGCGAUUUGGAUGUACAGAGUUUAUAUGAUACAAAGACCUAUUUUAUUUUUGUACUGGCUCUUGAAUUUUUCUCCUUUAAUUUCUAUCUCCGAACCCUUCUGAUAUGUUCUUUACUCCUGAUUUCAGCCUUUUAAGGUCUGUUCUUCUUCUGGGAUUGCAGAGAGCAUGGACCACCGUAUGGAAGAAGGAGAUGCCAUCCUUGACUGUCGUUGUCUUUGGCGUGUUGCUGCCAUUUUUCUAAUCCAUCUAGGUCAUGCCUUCUAACUUGCAUUACUUACUAGAUCUUGUUGUAUAUGAUGAUCUGUUGUCAGCUAUGCAAAGGUUCUGAUUUUAAGACUUUGUCAAGUUCAGUUCAGAUUUAAUUUUACUCCACCUCUUUUUGCAUGGACAAUGUGUGUGGUGUUUAGACGAUCACUAUGUGAAAUUCAUAGGCAUUGUGAGAGCAUGGAGAAAGGAUUCGAGUUUGAUUCUUUUUUCAGGGUUCAGAACUGUUACCAACUACACCUAUACACGUGGAAAACUUAAACUUGGCAGUCCAAAAUUAAGCAGCAAACUUUAUUGCUGGUCAGCUAAAAAUUCAGUGACAACUGCUGACACACGAGCUUCAUUUUUUAUUAGAGAUAGUAGAUGAUGCAGAUGACAGUUCUACCUCUCUAACUGAAACAAGAACUUUCUGACCAAAGGCAUACCUACAAGACAGGGGCAUACCUGCAGGACAACAGGAGGUCCUCAGGCACGCAUCAGUACUAGCAUAUUGAUACGUAGUGUGUGUGUUUUAGCAUAUUAGUACUAGCAUACCUGCAGGAGGUCCUAAGUUUCUUCAGUUCUAUACAAAUUUGAGUUGGUCUGUAGUGUUGAGAGGAUCCUAAAAUAUUGUAUACAUAAUCUCUUUCCGGGUUCUUGAAAACUUGCACUCUUCUGUUGAAUUUCGCAUUUUGGUUGAUCUGUACUGCAUCUUUUAUUGUUGUCAGCCUAGAAUUAUAUCGCAUUUUGUUCUUGUAUGGGCAGAUUCAUAAUUAUGCCUUAAUACUAAUUUGACUGCAUGAUUUAAUUAGUGGCUGCAAUAUUAUUUCAUGGUCCACAACAGAACUGAAGGUGCCAAAAUGAAACUUUCUUCUUCUCAUGUAUCAAAGUAUUAAGCAACCAAAUUUUUUAGUAUCUAAAUUGUUAUGUGUAGGAUGAUAACAGAGAGUGUUGUCUUGAAGAUCCUUUUAGAUUUCUACUAGGCGGCCUUUGUAUAUACAGAUAUUCCAGUUUAUUAAUUAAUGCUACCAGCGGUGGUUUGGAUUGGCUCAUGACCAUUAUAUGUGAGAACUAAGGGGUCUAUUCUUUCUUUCUUUUUUGCGAAAAAGGGGGUCUAUUCUUUUAACCAUGAACCAAUUUAAGUAGCAAGUCUGUUUUUUAUCGGUUAGUUGUAUCAUUGUUCUCCAACACUAAGCACUAAUCGAUAUAACCAGCCAUGAUCAUCCAUCCAUCGGUUUAGUUUGUUUUUUCUUUUGUUAGUUCUAGCUAACUGAAAUCUGUCUGAAGCUUUGAACCUUAACAACGCCCGUGAUUUGAGUCUUGGUGCUUGUGAAUUCUGAAUGAAGUACAAGCAGCCAAUCUUUCUGAAUGAAUUUGUUGAUGAUUUGCAUGGUUAUUCUUCAUUCUGGGUGCAUGGCUAUUCUUGGGUUUGAGCCUUAGGCAUGCAGCAAUUAGAUCUAAUUGCACUGUUUUGUGGGCCAUUUGAACUGAAAGCAUUCGUCAAUUUU